AGGCAGCUGAUCUGUUUCGAAUCCUGUGUGUCCGGAGAGGCCAACGCUUUCAUUAGCCAGCAGGAAUGGGCUGGGGCGCGUUUGUAGUUGGGAAUCCUGAGCCCGGGCUGUUGCUUGGAGGACUCGGGAGCAGCAGUGGAUUUCGGCGUUACCAGGAGAGCUAUGUAUAGGAAUGCCGCUAUGGAAAGACAUCCAGGACACCUUGUUAAGUGAAAAAAGAUGCUGGCUCAGUGUUGCCCCAUAGUGGCCAAUCCUGGGAAGGGCUACUGGGGUUGACCCCUUCACGCUAGAGUGCUUCUAGGCUAGGGUGUGAGUUCCACAGUCAGAGCUGCCUGGCUGCUUGGCCGAAGGAUGAACAUGCCACCAUUAGGGCUUCAUUUCCCUGCAGUCUUCUUUAAAUACCAAAACUGCCCUGGGAAGGAUAAGACAUCAGUUUCUUCAUACUUCAGAGCAAAUGGGAUUGAUUCCCAGGACCUCCUUUCUGUGGACUGGGUUUUUGCCUCCUCACCAAGAGACUGGGCUCCCUGGGCGAGCAGAGGCUGCUGGGUUCAGUAUCUGAACACUUUUGCUAAAGGUCUCUGGAAAGCUCCCUGUGUUAAUUCUCGAUGAGACUACGUCUGUGCCGGCCGCUUCCUGAGCCUCCUUCCAUGUGCAUAGGCCUGCUGCAUGCUGGAGACCUGCGGCACAGCUGCCAAGUGCCCCGUGUGGUUCUGUGAUCUUGGGACAGUCACUUCCUCUCUGUGGUUGUCAGUCUUCUCAUCCCUAAGAUGGAAUAAAAAGGCCUACCUCAUUGGGCUCGUGUGGGUGAGGAGAACUGAAGAGUCUGAGAGCGCGGCACGAGCCAGAGGCUACGGAAAACACUGCCCUCCUACACUCCACCUUGGAGAGACCCAGAAAAGAACAAGCUUCAUUUGUAAAAAAGGAAAACAACUCAGGCAAUGGGGGUGGCUUAAAGGCACUCUACAGUGUGCAGAUGCCUUCCACUUCUUCCAUCUGCCCUGUCUCUCCAAGAACCCCUAUGGCCCCGGUCUCAGAACAGAGCUGAGUGCAGAAAUGAAAAUCUAUGGCUCUGUGUUCCAAAACGAUGAAGAAUUUCAAGAUGGUGGCAGUGGUAAAAUCUUUCUCCAGGAAAAAUCUGUCCUUGGCCCAAUGUGUAAACACUUGCUGAGGAACUUGGAAUAACUUGCAGUGUCUUGCAGUAUUGUGAAACCAGCAACUUGUUCACAAUUCUUCUGAAUUUCUUGGGAAAUUUGAAGUGGAGUACCUGUACCAACAUGAAAUGACACGAAUUUAAGUGACGCUCAACAACGAAAAGCAAAAAGAACCAAAGAGGAAGCAACUGAAACAACAUCUGGAUGUAUUUAAAAAUAUACAAUGCCUCCAAAAUCAGGUGUCAUUAAUGAAAAUUCUGAAGAAAUGCCACCGGACAUAGCCAACGCACCUACGCUGUUGUUAUUCAUUUCCUGCUUUUCACAGAAAACAAUUUUGUUGCAUGGAAGAUCGUGAACUUCAAAGGGCAGAGGGGAAACUGUCCCUUGGCCUCUACCCCUCCAAGGCCCCACUUUUUUGUCAACACUCCUUGGACGCAGCAGAAGUAUGAACAUAAUAUGGUCCUGAAUGAGGCUGAGUCUUUGGGCGCAGAAGACCCGGGUUAAUAAAAAUAGGAAGGUGGUGUGAAGACCAGAAAGGAGGCUGUUGCACUAGUUCAGGAAGAGAAGAGGAGGUGGGCGACAGAAGUAGAGGCAGCGCUCUGAGGGACCUUGGGCAGGUGGAAGCCACAAAACUGGAUGGCCAUGAGGGCAAGGUG
ensembl:lncRNA DRAIC downregulated RNA in cancer, inhibitor of cell invasion and migration